UGAGGAAUAUUGGUCAGUGGGCGCGAGCCUGAACCAGCCAAGUAGCGUGAAGGAUGAAGGUCCUACGGAUUGUAAACUUCUUUUAUAAGGGAAUAAAGUCAUCUACGUGUAGGUGUUUGUAUGUACCUUAUGAAUAAGGAUCGGCUAACUCCGUGCCAGCAGCCGCGGUAAUACGGAGGAUCCGAGCGUUAUCCGGAUUUAUUGGGUUUAAAGGGAGCGUAGAUGGAUGUUUAAGUCAGUUGUGAAAGUUUGCGGCUCAACCGUAAAAUUGCAGUUGAUACUGGAUAUCUUGAGUGCAGUUGAGGCAGGCGGAAUUCGUGGUGUAGCGGUGAAAUGCUUAGAUAUCACGAAGAACUCCGAUUGCGAAGGCAGCCUGCUAAGCUGCAACUGACAUUGAGGCUCGAAAGUGUGGGUAUCAAACAGGAUUAGAUACCCUGGUAGUCCACACGGUAAACGAUGAAUACUCGCUGUUUGCGAUAUACUGCAAGCGGCCAAGCGAAAGCGUUAAGUAUUCCACCUGGGGAGUACGCCGGCAACGGUGAAACUCAAAGGAAUUGACGGGGGCCCGCACAAGCGGAGGAACAUGUGGUUUAAUUCGAUGAUACGCGAGGAACCUUACCCGGGCUUAAAUUGCAGAUGAAUUACGGUGAAAGCCGUAAGCCGCAAGGCAUCUGUGAAGGUGCUGCAUGGUUGUCGUCAGCUCGUGCCGUGAGGUGUCGGCUUAAGUGCCAUAACGAGCGCAACCCUUGUUGUCAGUUACUAACAGGUUUUGCUGAGGACUCUGACAAGACUGCCAUCGUAAGAUGUGAGGAAGGUGGGGAUGACGUCAAAUCAGCACGGCCCUUACGUCCGGGGCUACACACGUGUUACAAUGGGGGGUACAGAGGGCCGCUACCACGCGAGUGGAUGCCAAUCCCCAAAACCUCUCUCAGUUCGGACUGGAGUCUGCAACCCGACUCCACGAAGCUGGAUUCGCUAGUAAUCGCGCAUCAGCCACGGCGCGGUGAAUACGUUCCC
rnacentral:rRNA from 1 species